UAAGCGUACACGGUGGAUGCCCUGGCAGUCAGAGGCGAUGAAGGGCGUGCUAAUCUGCGAUAAGCGCCGGUAAGGUGAUAUGAACCGUUAUAACCGGCGAUACCCGAAUGGGGAAACCCAGUGUGAUUCGUCACACUAUCAUUAACUGAAUCCAUAGGUUAAUGAGGCGAACCGGGGGAACUGAAACAUCUAAGUACCCCGAGGAAAAGAAAUCAACCGAGAUUCCCCCAGUAGCGGCGAGCGAACGGGGAGGAGCCCAGAGCCUGAAUCAGCAUGUGUGUUAGUGGAAGCGUCUGGAAAGGCGCGCGAUACAGGGUGACAGCCCCGUACACAAAAGCGCAUGUGCUGUGAGCUCGAUGAGUAGGGCGGGACACGUGGUAUCCUGUCUGAAUAUGGGGGGACCAUCCUCCAAGGCUAAAUACUCCUGACUGACCGAUAGUGAACCAGUACCGUGAGGGAAAGGCGAAAAGAACCCCGGCGAGGGGAGUGAAAAAGAACCUGAAACCGUGUACGUACAAGCAGUGGGAGCACCCUUUGGGGUGUGACUGCGUACCUUUUGUAUAAUGGGUCAGCGACUUAUAUUCUGUAGCAAGGUUAACCGUAUAGGGGAGCCGGAGGGAAACCGAGUCUUAACCGGGCGUUAAGUUGCAGGGUAUAGACCCGAAACCCGGUGAUCUAGCCAUGGGCAGGUUGAAGGUUGGGUAACACUAACUGGAGGACCGAACCGACUAAUGUUGAAAAAUUAGCGGAUGACCUGUGGCUGGGGGUGAAAGGCCAAUCAAACCGGGAGAUAGCUGGUUCUCCCCGAAAGCUAUUUAGGUAGCGCCUCGUGAAUUCAUCUCCGGGGGUAGAGCACUGUUUCGGCUAGGGGGCCAUCCCGGCUUACCAACCCGAUGCAAACUGCGAAUACCGGAGAAUGUUAUCACGGGAGACACACGGCGGGUGCUAACGUCCGUCGUGAAGAGGGAAACAACCCAGACCGCCAGCUAAGGUCCCAAAGUCAUGGUUAAGUGGGAAACGAUGUGGGAAGGCCCAGACAGCCAGGAUGUUGGCUUAGAAGCAGCCAUCAUUUAAAGAAAGCGUAAUAGCUCACUGGUCGAGUCGGCCUGCGCGGAAGAUGUAACGGGGCUAAACCAUGCACCGAAGCUGCGGCAGCGACGCUGAUGCGUUGUUGGGUAGGGGAGCGUUCUGUAAGCCUGCGAAGGUGGCCUGUGAGGGUUGCUGGAGGUAUCAGAAGUGCGAAUGCUGACAUAAGUAACGAUAAAGCGGGUGAAAAGCCCGCUCGCCGGAAGACCAAGGGUUCCUGUCCAACGUUAAUCGGGGCAGGGUGAGUCGACCCCUAAGGCGAGGCCGAAAGGCGUAGUCGAUGGGAAACGGGUUAAUAUUCCCGUACUUGGUGUUACUGCGAAGGGGGGACGGAGAAGGCUAUGUUGGCCGGGCGACGGUU
rnacentral:rRNA from 1 species